ACAGGUUACUGAACAGCAGAUUUUCCUGCAUCAGUAGUGGUACAGCUUUUGUGUCUAUACAGAGUGCCAUGUCUGUCAUCAUUUAGAAUCAAUGGACAGGGAUGGCUUGGAGGAGGGACCUGGCUCAAUCGGCGCUGACCGACCACGACAAGGAAGGCUGAGAGGUAUCCCACCAUGUAUAGAAACUUGCUAUAAGGGCGUGAAGCUUGGAUAGGCCAGUGUUACUGCCACAAGAGUACAGUGAAAGCAGAUCGAUGCAGCUGCAACAACAGACACAUUUCCUGUGCUGAAAACCUUUUUAGCGUUGGCACUAACUACGUGUACAGCAUUUCUCGUUUGGUUCAAGGUAAAAGAAGAAGUCACUGAAAAACCAUGGUGCUUAUAUACAAACCACAAGUAUUGGAAACCAUGCAGUAAAGGAAGAACAGUCAGAAGCCAAAGCACUAAUGUAGCUUGAAGGUGGAAUUUCCUUUUAAAGCCUGAAAAUGUACUCACCACAAUAGACAUAAAAACC